rnacentral:lncRNA from 1 species
CAACUUCACUGAGCACUUGCACAAAAAGAGAUGUUGACCUAGGGGAGGUGAUGCAACAAAGACAAGAACUACAAAUGAUCCCUUAAGCUUUCAAGGAGGUCCAAUGAUAAGAUCCAAGUCCAAAAGGAAGCAAGAAGCUUUGUUUGGAGUUGAAUUCAAGUGCUAGUUUCAUUGUUGGAACUAGUUUUCCCAAACUUCACUUGAGGAGAUCCUUGGAUUUUG